AAUGGAACCUGCAGGACCAACCACAUGGACAAAUGGAAAAAUGCCUUUGUCCGCACAUUGCAGCGAUCCUGCGUAAACAUGGCGGUCUCUGUCUGGCGUAGGGCAGCUGACUGGGUCCGAUCGUCCCUCAUACAGC